CGGUUAAGUUAGAAAGGGCGCACGGUGGAUGCCUUGGCACUAGGAGCCGAUGAAGGACGGGACGAACACCGAUAUGCUUCGGGGAGCUGUAAGCAAGCUUUGAUCCGGAGAUUUCCGAAUGGGGAAACCCACCACUCGUAAUGGAGUGGUAUCCAUAUCUGAAUUCAUAGGAUAUGAGAAGGCAGACCCGGGGAACUGAAACAUCUAAGUACCCGGAGGAAGAGAAAGCAAAUGCGAUUCCCUGAGUAGCGGCGAGCGAAACGGGAUUAGCCCAAACCAAGAGGCUUGCCUCUUGGGGUUGUAGGACACUCUGUACGGAGUUACAAAAGAACGAGGUAGAUGAAGAGGUCUGGAAAGGCCCGCCAUAGGAGGUAACAGCCCUGUAGUCAAAACUUCGUUCUCUCCUGAGUGGAUCCUGAGUACGGCGGAACACGUGAAAUUCCGUCGGAAUCCGGGAGGACCAUCUCCCAAGGCUAAAUACUCCCUAGUGACCGAUAGUGAACCAGUACCGUGAGGGAAAGGUGAAAAGCACCCCGGAAGGGGAGUGAAAGAGAUCCUGAAACCGUGUGCCUACAAGUAGUCAGAGCCCGUUAACGGGUGAUGGCGUGCCUUUUGUAGAAUGAACCGGCGAGUUACGAUCCCGUGCAAGGUUAAGCAGAAGAUGCGGAGCCGCAGCGAAAGCGAGUCUGAAUAGGGCGCAUGAGUACGUGGUCGUAGACCCGAAACCAGGUGAUCUACCCAUGUCCAGGGUGAAGUUCAGGUAACACUGAAUGGAGGCCCGAACCCACGCACGUUGAAAAGUGCGGGGAUGAGGUGUGGGUAGGGGUGAAAUGCCAAUCGAACCUGGAGAUAGCUGGUUCUCUCCGAAAUAGCUUUAGGGCUAGCCUCAAGGUAAGAGUCUUGGAGGUAGAGCACUGAUUGGACUAGGGGCCCCUACCGGGUUACCGAAUUCAGUCAAACUCCGAAUGCCAAUGACUUAUCCUUGGGAGUCAGACUGCGAGUGAUAAGAUCCGUAGUCGAAAGGGAAACAGCCCAGACCGCCAGCUAAGGUCCCAAAGUAUACGUUAAGUGGAAAAGGAUGUGGAGUUGCUUAGACAACCAGGAUGUUGGCUUAGAAGCAGCCACCAUUUAAAGAGUGCGUAAUAGCUCACUGGUCGAGUGACUCUGCGCCGAAAAUGUACCGGGGCUAAACGUAUCACCGAAGCUGCGGACUGUUCUUCGAACAGUGGUAGGAGAGCGUUCUAAGGGCUGUGAAGCCAGACCGGAAGGACUGGUGGAGCGCUUAGAAGUGAGAAUGCCGGUAUGAGUAGCGAAAGAGGGGUGAGAAUCCCCUCCACCGAAUGCCUAAGGUUUCCUGAGGAAGGCUCGUCCGCUCAGGGUUAGUCGGGACCUAAGCCGAGGCCGAAAGGCGUAGGCGAUGGACAACAGGUUGAUAUUCCUGUACCACCUCCUCACCAUUUGAGCAAUGGGGGGACGCAGGAGGAUAGGGUAAGCGCGGUAUUGGAUAUCCGCGUCCAAGCAGUUAGGCUGGGAAAUAGGCAAAUCCGUUUCCCAUAAGGCUGAGCUGUGAUGGCGAGCGAAAUAUAGUAGCGAAGUUCCUGAUUCCACACUGCCAAGAAAAGCCUCUAGCGAGGUGAGAGGUGCCCGUACCGCAAACCGACACAGGUAGGCGAGGAGAGAAUCCUAAGGUGAUCGAGAGAACUCUCGUUAAGGAACUCGGCAAAAUGACCCCGUAACUUCGGGAGAAGGGGUGCUCUGUUAGGGUGCAAGCCCGAGAGAGCCGCAGUGAAUAGGCCCAGGCGACUGUUUAGCAAAAACACAGGUCUCUGCGAAGCCGUAAGGCGAAGUAUAGGGGCUGACGCCUGCCCGGUGCUGGAAGGUUAAGAGGAGCGCUUAGCGUAAGCGAAGGUGCGAAUUGAAGCCCCAGUAAACGGCGGCCGUAACUAUAACGGUCCUAAGG
rnacentral:rRNA from 1 species